GGCGAGGUGGCCGAGUGGUUAUGGCGCUAGUUUCAGGUAAACUACGCUAAGGAAUUAUCCUCACCGUAAUUACAUCAUAUUACUAGUGGAGCAAUCCUCGUGGGUUCGAGUCCCACCCUCGUCA